rnacentral:lncRNA from 1 species
UUGCGAGAGGGGGCCUGGUGGGAGGUGUUGGUUCAUGGGAGUGGAUUACUAAUAAUUGGUUUGGUGCCGUUCUUACGGUGGUAAGCAAGUUAUCACUCUGGCAAGACUAGAUUAGUUCUUGUGGGAGUGGAUUCGUUCCCUCUUGAGAGUGAGUUAUUAUAAAGCCAGGAGCUUCUCUUUUCAUGAGGUUCGUGUCGGCUUCCCCUUUGAACUUCUCACUAUGUUUUGACCUAAAACGUGGCUCUUUCUCUCACCAGAUGCUGAACAGAUGCCAGUGCAAUGCUUUUGGUACUUCUCAGUCUGCAGAACUAGGGAAGAAAAAAGAUAAGAUAAAGAAAAAUAUUCUACCAGACACAUGGGAAUCAGUGACAAGGCCUGACAUAUACAUUACGGGAGCACCAGAAGACGCAGUAGAAUGAAUGUGUCAAUGGCAACAGUUGAAGAUAUACUGAAAAAUUGAUGGACAAAAUGCCAAAGAUUCAUCACGUUCUUUGAACUCCAAGCAGAAUAAAUAGAUAAGUAGAAAGGAAAUCACAUUUAGACAAAUGCAUAGCAAAACUCCAAAGGAGCAAGGAAAAAGUCUACAUUUUAAAAAUCAGCUUGGAGUUGAAAACAAGGCUACAGUCCGCAAGUCAUGAUACCACGAUAAACAUUUUAAAAGAGGAAAAUUUAAGAAAAUCCCAGUGUAUUCACCUAUGAAGUGUAAAGUCAUGAACAACAUGAGAACAAUGCAACUAUGGCACACAUUUAGACGCUGUUACGAGUAACAACAAAAAAAAUUUUGCAGCGUUUGAAAUUAUAUUCAGCGUAACUUUUUGUACUUAUAUACACUACUACUGUAUAAAUUUAAAAAAUUAAUGUCAUUAAUUUCCUCUAAAAAGUGAUUAUUUUUAAUUGGGCUAGUUUGCCUGCCAGGAAAACUUUCAUGUACAUUUUGUUGAUUCAAAUCAAUAAAAAUCCAGGAAUAAUGUGAGCUAAUUAUGCUUUAAAAUGUGAAUAUAAUAUUU